rnacentral:rRNA from 1 species
CUACGGAGGGGGCUAGCGUUAUUCUGAAUUACUGGGCGUAAAGAGUUCGUAGGCGGACUGGAAAGUUAGAGGUGAAAGCCCAGGGCUCAACCCUGGAACGGCCUUUAAAACUUCCAGUCUAGAGACAGAUAGAGGUAAGGGGAAUACUUAGUGUAGAGGUGAAAUUCGUAGAUAUUAAGUGGAACACCAGUGGCGAAGGAGCCUUACUGGAUCUGUACUGACGCUGAGGAACGAAAGAGUGGGGAGCGAACGGGAUUAGAUACACUAGUAGUCA